ensembl:lncRNA
GGGGGGGGGGGGGGGGGGGGGGGGGGGGGGGGGGGGGGGGGGGGGGGGGGGCGCCCUGCGGAAGCCCCUUGGGAAGCCGCCGGGGGCGGUGACAUUUCGGGGACAGUACACAGGUGCGUGCUGCUGGCACGGGGGGGCUGGAGGCGGCCACCCUCACCUUGGGGACGCUGGCCGCGCUCACGGUGGCGUUUGGCAGGGACACGGUACCAGGCGGGCACAGCACGGGCCACCCCCGCACCCCGAGAGGAGCCGGGCACCUCGGGGUGUCCCCGAUGUCACAGGGACAGGGUGGCAUCAGGUGAGUGGCCCCCAGCUCCUCCCAGCCUUCCCUACCACCCCGAACAGCUGCUAAUUACCUUAAUUAAUUAACCGGAGAGGCUCAGGGAGGGGACAAACAAACCCAUUGCUCAUGGCCUGACGCUCUCCCCAGUGUCCCUUGGCCAGACCCCACUGUCCCCCCAACCGGGGCAGCUCUGGGGGUGCCCUGACCUCGUGUGGGUCCUGCACGGGUCAAACUCCCCCUUGGCAUCUGUGCCUGUGUGGGCAGAAAUUCCUGGGGUUCCCUGGGGUUCCCUGGGGUUCCAGGUGUCACCGGCAGCAGUGUCACCUGUCCCAGCCCUGUCUUUGCAGAUCCCCUCCCAUCUCAUCAGCCCCCGCAAACCACUCAGCUCUUCCCAAACAUCCCUGGCUGGCUCUGCCGGGGACAUUCCCGAUCUCCUCUCUCCACAGCUGGCCUUGGGGGAGGUGAUGCCCCCCGGCAGCCCCAGCACAGCACCCCCAGGAGAACGUCCUGCCCCACCUGCCGGGCACCCACGGGCCCCCCUGCGCCGGGCAGCAGGGGCAGAGCCACGCGCGAGCGUGGCCCUGGUGGCUCCUGUCCCCCAGGGGCCGAGAAGCCGGAGCCGCCCGGAAUCUGGUACUUGGCAGCCACCCCUGCUGCCGCCACUGCCACCGUCUGCCUGGCACCCGUCCCCCUCGUGCCUUACGUGCCCUCCAUGCUGUAAGGAUGCUCUGGGGCUGCGAGGGGACUCGGGGGCUGGGUCAGCAUCCCCCAGGGGUGCAGGGGAAACCCAGGAGGGGCUGGGUUUGCCCAUGG